UACAGAGGGUGCAAGCGUUGUUCGGAAUUAUUGGGCGUAAAGGGCGCGUAGGCGGCCAACUAAGUCGGACGUGAAAUCCCUCAGCUUAACUGGGGAACUGCGUCCGAUACUGGAUGGCUUGGAUUUGGGAGAGGGAUGCGGAAUUCCAGGUGUAGCGGUGAAAUGCGUAGAUAUCUGGAGGAACACCGGUGGCGAAGGCGGCAUCCUGGACCAACAUUGACGCUGAGGAGCGAAAGCUAGGGGAGCAAACGGG
rnacentral:rRNA from 1 species